rnacentral:rRNA from 1 species
UACGAAGGGGGCUAGCGUUGCUCGGAAUCACUGGGCGUAAAGCGCACGUAGGCGGACUCUUAAGUCAGGGGUGAAAUCCUGGAGCUCAACUCCAGAACUGCCUUUGAUACUGGGAGUCUUGAGUCCGGAAGAGGUAAGUGGAACUGCGAGUGUAGAGGUGAAAUUCGUAGAUAUUCGCAAGAACACCAGUGGCGAAGGCGGCUUACUGGUCCGGUACUGACGCUGAGGUGCGAAAGCGUGGGGAGCAAACAGGG